rnacentral:lncRNA from 1 species
CUAAGUGAAACAUGGUCACAUCCACAUGGCAGUAGGCUCUGUCUCCACCACCAUGGCCAAGCGCCACCUCUGAGGAGCUAGGAGCACCCAAAGGACCCAGGACCACAGACUAUGACCAUGUCUGUGCUGGAGUGAGACCACUAGAAGAUAAUAACCACGUUCUUCUCAUGUAAAACCAGGGUUCUGCUCGAGCAACCCUUCUAGCAGCCCUACUUAGGAGGCAGAAGCAAGAUGCUCUUAAGUUUGAAGUAGGCCCUGGAUACAAGUUAAACCUUUUCUGAAAAUUAAUAAACAAAUAUUAAAGAAGCAUUUUUCAACAAAGAAUCACUAUAGUAGAACCAGUGUUUUACCCUCUUUGUCUCAAAAAUGUAAAAGGUCUCUCAUGCAGGAGAGGGAGAAGUUUCUGUGGCUCGGUUGCCCUGGUACCCUCUGUACUUCCCUGCUUAGAAGAAGCACAUGGCCACAUGGCCGAGGAAAGUGUUGUCUGUGUUUCCUGAGUAAGCAGGGCAGCUCAUGAUUCAGACAGAAAUUAAGCAGCCUACUGAGGGAGUUUGGCCAAAGAGCCAAAUACAUUUGAGAAUCAAGAGCAUCAAGUGGCUCUCUUCUGCAGGGCUCAGCAGGAUGUACUAUAGCACCGUCCCAAUUUGAAAAUGGAGAGAAAGGACAGUGAAUUCCCAGGCAGUAGCAAAAGCACCCUAUUGCAUGGAUUUCCUCAAGGCUGAUGGUGAACACAAGUCUCUUAAAGACCGUCUUCACCACACCCGGAGUAAAGUCCUGCCCAUGAGUAGUGAGCG